UUAUUUCUAGUGGCGGACGGCGUGAGUAACACGUGGGUAAUCUGCCUUAUACAGAUGAAUAACAAUGAGAAAUCAUUGCUAAAACAUCAUAAGCUUACAGUAUCGCAUGAUAAAGUAAGAAAAAAUUUAUUGGUAUAAGAGGAGCCCGCGUCUGAUUAGCUAGUUGGAGAGGUAAAAGCUCACCAAGGCGACGAUCAGUAGCCGACCUGAGAGGGUGAUCGGCCACAUUGGGACUGAGACACGGCCCAAACUCCUACGGGAGGCAGCAGUGGGGAAUAUUGCACAAUGGAGGAAACUCUGAUGCAGCGACGCCGCGUGAAGGAAGAAGGUUUUCGGAUCGUAAACUUCUAUCAACAGGGAAGAAAAAAAUGACGGUACCUGAAUAAGAAGCACCGGCUAACUACGUGCCAGCAGCCGCGGUAAUACGUAGGGUGCAAGCGUUAUCCGGAAUUACUGGGUGUAAAGGGUGAGUAGGCGGUUUGUUAAGUCAUAUGUGAAAGCCCAAGGCUCAACCUUGGGACUGCAUAAGAAACUGAUGAACUAGAGUACAGGAGAGGUAAGCGGAAUUCUUAGUGUAGCGGUAAAAUGCGUAGAUAUUAAGAAGAACACCAGUGGCGAAGGCGGCUUACUGGACUGAAACUGACGCUGAGUCACGAAAGCGUGGGGAGCAAACAGGAUUAGAUACCCUGGUAGUCCACGCUGUAAACGAUGAUUGCUAGGUGUCGGCGUGAGAGCGUCGGUGCCGUAUUUAACACAAUAAGCAACCCACCGGGGAAGUACGACCGCCAGGUUGAAACUCA
rnacentral:rRNA from 1 species